rnacentral:rRNA from 1 species
UACAGAGGUGGCAAGCGUUGUUCGGAAUUACUGGGCGUAAAGGGCGCGUAGGCGGUCUUCUAAGUCUUGUGUGAAAUCCCUCGGCUUAACUGAGGAACUGCACGGGAUACUGGAUGACUUGAGUUCGGGAGAGGGAAGCGGAAUUCCGGGUGUAGCGGUGAAAUGCGUAGAUAUCCGGAGGAACACCGGUGGCGAAGGCGGCUUCCUGGACCGACACUGACGCUGAGGCGCGAAAGCUAGGGGAGCAAACGGG